rnacentral:rRNA from 1 species
GACAGAGGUGCCAAGCGUUUAGGCGGAAUCACUGGCUUAAAGCGUGUGUAGGUGGAUGUCUAAGUACCUUGUGAAAUCCCACGGCUCAACCGUGGAACUGCUUGGUAUACUGGAUGUCUUGAGCCACUUAGGGCUACCGGAACAAAUGGUGGAGCGGUGAAAUGCGUAGAUAUCAUUUGGAACGCCAAUGGUGAAAACAGGUAGCUGGGAGUGUGCUGACAUGAGACACGAAAGCCAGGGGAGCGAACGGG